AGCCCUUGCCGAACGAACUGGGAAACCCCAUGCCAGGUGAUCAGAGGAAUCACUUGUUCCUCGUUUCAGGUGGCUGUCUUAAGCCCCUUAUUUCUGAGCUUCGUUGCUCAGUCAUGGAGAUUUCUACCCGAGGGACAGUCAACGCGUUAUGCUCACCUGCUCCUAGCAAGAACUCACUCCUGUGAUGUAUUGAUCCUUGUUCACCGCAGCUCACGGUCCUUCAUCCAGUGUGGCACCACCGGCUGGGGCCGGAUGAAGUCCAGCCACAGGGAGAACACCAACUCCUCCCCAGCCUCUGUGAAGUCUGUGACCACCCAGCUGGCUUCCAUGUCCUCCUCCCUGCCUUUCGCGGGGGUCAGCAGGCGUAGGUAUCUCUGACCUUUGAACUCCACAGAGACCUGCUCAUCGUCGUCUUUGCCGGCAAAUCCUGGGGACGAGAGGUUACCACAGGCAGAGUGAAAGCCGUCACUCUCUGUGACCUCUGAGGGCGCCGUGUCGGGAGAGGAACAGGUGUAGUACUCGUCCGCAUCACUGAUCUGGGAGUGCACAUCGCCGCAAUUUGAGAUACUGACUUCCCUCAAGCUUGCAGACCCACUCUUCUGCUCAGAUCCUCUCACUGCUUCACCAUUCUUAAUUGCAGAGAGGUCUGGAAUGGGUGAGUCUUUCCCAGGCUCCCUGCAGUCUCCCUCUAGUGUGACGUUGGGUAGCCUGUAGAUCUGCAGCUCUCCACAGUGGUACAGGCCUGUGUCUGCUGGGUACUGCUGAAAUUGUGCGUAGAGGCCUGGGACACUCAGUGCCACGGACUGCAGGUGGUCUGGGGUCAGCGGGGUCAGUAAGCGGUUGGUCACACACACGUUUACUCCAUGCUUCCCUGUGCAAAAGCUAUUAUCUUUGCCUGGUGCUUAGACCAACAAACAUAGAGAGAGUAUAGGGAAUCAAAAACUUGCUAAGGACUUGAGAAAGACAAUGAUAAUCACUCAUAUGUAAACUCAUAGGCUGCAAUCAUUUGGGGAAAUUUGUAAGGACAUUUCUAAAUGUGGAUUUAACACUAACCUUCAUUUCUGCUAGAGAUAGCAAAUUACAUUAGCUUGGCAGGAAAUGUACAAAUUAAUAUUAAUUUGAAUAUGUGUUGCCUGGAGACCACUUUAAAAUAUAUGUUCAAAUGUUAAAGUGUUUUGAUACUUAAGAUUUUUUAGGAUUCUGUAACAGCCCAAAAAAGAACAUAAUGAAUAAUUCCAUCAAUGAUUUGGUUUAAUGCAGCAGAAAUAUCCUAAACUAUAGGCCUAUUGUGAUUGUUUAAUUCGCCUACAUGGUGUUUUAAGAUGAGGCUAAAUAUUAGUCUAAAAAAGGCGAUUUCCCUCAUGAACAGGUCUGAUAUCACUGAAACAAUUCAGUCAAUAGGUACCCUACCUGAACUUUCAUGGUGAGAAUUUAACACUGUCUUGAAACGAAAGCGCAUCAGAUACCUAUCGGCUUUCCGUUGCGAAUAAUUCAUUUUGUUUAAGGAACUACUUUAUAACAGCAGUCAGAAAGGUAGUCAUUUGCCCCCCAGUUGUUUGUCGCGCGUUGUGGUCCGGUUUUGCGCGCGACGAAACGAUGUGGCUUUUUGUGAGAACGUCGUGUUUGGAACGCUGGAACGCUGAAUAAGUCAUAAACCAUUCAUUCCAUAUUCAUGUAUACCAUGUGACGUCACUGUGCUUAAGCGCCGCCAUCUUUGUGCCCGAAAGUCUAGCUGAGCGUCGGUCACACAACACAGACAAUAGUCGGUCACAACCCACAGAAAGUUGAAAUGCCCUGCUUAUGUUGUGCUGAUGGAUGCGACAAUAGUCGCGAAAAUUACCCAAAGAAACAAUUUCAUUGUAUACCAAAAGAUUUAGAUCGGCGGAAUAAAUGGUUGGCUGCAAAUUAGAAGAGACAACUGGUAGCCAACAUCUAACUUCAGAUUGUGCAGUCAACACUUUGUAUCUUCCUGCACCACUAUCCACGGACAUGUUGAUUUUGUGUUCAGAGCCUGUGAAUGACUGACAUGUUACGUGAAAUGCAGCACGUUGAUACAAUCGUGAAUAAUUGCUGUGUCUUAUCAGAGCUAAACUCUCCUGAGCAAGCUAGAGCG
ensembl:lncRNA